CAGUCGCCACGGUAAUACGAGGGGGGCAAGCGUUGUUCGGAAUUAUUGGGCGUAAAGGGUGCGUAGGCGGUUUGAUAAGUUUGGCGUGAAAUCUCCGGGCUCAACCCAGAGUCUGCGCCGAAAACUGUCGGGCUUGAGUAUGGGAGAGGUGAGUGGAAUUUCCGGUGUAGCGGUGAAAUGCGUAGAUAUCGGAAGGAACACCUGUGGCGAAAGCGGCUCACUGGACCAUAUCUGACGCUGAGGCGCGAAAGCUAGGGGAGCAAAUAGGAUUAGAUACCCCCGUAGUCCCUGUCUCUUAUAC
rnacentral:rRNA from 1 species